rnacentral:rRNA from 1 species
UACGUAGGGUGCAAGCGUUAAUCGGAAUUACUGGGCGUAAAGCGUGCGCAGGCGGCUUUGCAAGACAGAUGUGAAAUCCCCGGGCUUAACCUGGGAAUUGCAUUUGUGACUGCACGGCUAGAGUGUGUCAGAGGGGGGUGGAAUUCCAUGUGUAGCAGUGAAAUGCGUAGAUAUGUGGAGGAAUACCGAUGGCGAAGGCAGCCCCCUGGGACAACACUGACGCUCAUGCACGAAAGCGUGGGGAGCAAACAGG